rnacentral:rRNA from 1 species
GUGAAGCCCCCCUCAAGAUGAGAUAUCCCCACGCAAGUGGUAAGACCCCUUGGAGAGUACGAGGUUGAUAGGCACAAGGUGUAAGAGUGGUAACAUUCUCAGCUGAUGUGUACUAAUAGGUCGAGGACUUAACCAAAA